CGGGGUGUAGCACAGUUGGUAGAGCGCUACGUUCGGGACGUAGAGGCCGCUGGUUCGAGUCCAGUCACCCCGA
rnacentral:tRNA from 1 species